rnacentral:rRNA from 1 species
GUCCACGCCGUAAACGAUGGAUACUAGCUGUUGGGGCAACUUCAGUGGCUAAGCGAAAGUGAUAAGUAUCCCACCUGGGGAGUACGUUCGCAAGAAUGAAACUCAAAGGAAUUGACGGGGGCCCGCACAAGCGGUGGAGCAUGUGGUUUAAUUCGAUGAUACGCGAGGAACCUUACCAAGGCUUAAAUGUAGAUUGACGUAUUUGGAAACAGAUAUUUCUUCGGACAAUUUACAAGGUGCUGCAUGGUUGUCGU